GGUGCAGUGGCUUAGUGGCUAAGACAUUUGCCUCGCACCUCCAGGGUUGGGGGUUCGAAUCCUACCCCUGCUCUG